rnacentral:misc_RNA from 1 species
CAGAGUUGCAAAACUCCCAACCAUUGUGAACCUACCUCACCGUUGCUUCGGCGGGUGGCCCCGGGGCAACCCGGAGCCGCGCCGGCCCCCGCUCUCGGGGCCCGGCAAACCCGUCAGAAGACCGAAACUCUUCGUCAUCAGUGGCCUCUCUGAGUAACUUAUACAAUAAGUCA